rnacentral:ncRNA from 2 species
AUAAUCUCGGGCGGUUCGGGUUCCAUGAAGGCCAAGCCUUCGGGAUUAAAGGGGAACACGGUAGGGACGACCUGAAACAGGGCCCGAUCCGUGGCUGCCCUCGCAACUGUGAGCGUGAGCCGCAUCCAUGAUGCCACUGGGUCAGACCGGGAAGGCGGAUGACAGGCAAAAGCGCGAGCCAGGAGACCUGCCCGGAUACCGGGCGCCGC